UUGGUCUUCCCACCAACUCCAUGAAAGUGGAUUUUAUUAUCCUCAUCAUGCAGAUGAGAAUAUUGAGACUUAUAGCGGUAUGCUUGAGCCCCAAAGUACUCAGAGUUGCCUGGCUCCAAGAUUUAUAAUCUUAAAUGAUGGGACUACCAUCCUUACUCUCUCCAUUUUUCUAUACGGUAAAAAACUUGUUGCUGCAAGUCAAGCUGCCUUAGGCUUAUAACAUCACAUUUAAAAGCAUCUCAGCCUACCAUGAGAAUAAGAGAAAGAAAAUGAAGAUCCAAAGCUUAUUCAUCUGUUUUUCUUUUUCGUUGGUGUAAAGCCAACACCCUGUCUAAAAAACAUAAAUUUCUUUAAUCAUUUUGCCUCUUU
rnacentral:sRNA from 1 species